GAUUAGUGUGACUCGUUGGGUGAAGCCUCCUAUUGGUAAGGUGAAGCUGAAUUGUAAUACAAGUCUAUCCUUGGCGAUGGGAGAAGCUGCCGGGGCUUACAUUCUUACCCUAUUUGCUGGUGGCAAAGGAAAUGUUGCUGAAGCGGUACUAUAGCAAGGACAUUCGAGGUGGUGCUCAAUUCCCAGAGUCAGAUAUAGUUAAAGCUUGCCGAAGGGUUAGUGAAUAUUUUUUGUUGUUGUACAACAACUCUAUUUUAAGUAUUGCUAUAUUCCUUUACAUAAUAUCUAAAAUUUUGCUUUCUUUAUAUGAUCUUUGAAAUCAAAUAGUGCUAAAAAAUGUGAUCACGAUUACUCACUUGCGGAAGAUUUUCUCGAGAUUACACCUCGGAAGACAAUUGGAGAAUUGAAGGAAUGUAAAGAGGAUGGUGAUUAUGCUGUGUAUGGUACAAUUAUGGGAGUGAUUGGUGGAUCUGAUUGGUUUGUUGCUCAAUGUAGAUGUGGCAUUGAAGUUGUUCUGAAGCUUGGGUCAUACUAUUGUGAAAAGUCUUCAAAGCAUGUUGAUUUGUUUUCCUUGAAGUUAUAGUGUUGGUAUGAGGUUUAUUUAUGUUGAUUAUCAUUUGUAUAUAUUAUAAAAACAGGUAUAGAAUUAAGGUGAAAGUUAUUGAUUCCUCAGGGAGUGCAACCUUUGUCAUAUUUGAA